rnacentral:rRNA from 1 species
CUUAAUGUGUAGAGGAAAUUGUUAUUUCGCCAAGAGAUAAGACUAUAUGGUAUCAGGUAGUUGGUGGGUAAUAGCCUACCAAGCCUAUGACGCCUAGCUGGUCUGAGAGGAUGAUCAGCCACACUGGAACUGAGACACGGUCCAGACUCCGUACGGGAGGCAGCAGUGGGGAAUAUUGCACAAUGGAGGAAACUCUGAUGCAGCAACGCCGCGUGGAGGAUGACGCAUUUCGGUGUGUAAACUCCUUUUAUAUGGGAAGAUAAUGACGGUACCAUAUGAAUAAGCACCGGCUAACUCCGUG